UACGGAGGGUGCGAGCGUUGUCCGGAAUCACUGGGCGUAAAGGGCGCGUAGGCGGCCUGAUAAGUAGGGGGUGAAAUCCUGCGGCUUAACCGCAGGGCUGCCUUCUAAACUGUCAGGCUGGAGCACAGUAGAGGCAGGUGGAAUUCCCGGUGUAGCGGUGGAAUGCGUAGAGAUCGGGAAGAACAUCAGUGGCGAAGGCAAUCCCCUGGGCCUGCACUGACGCUCAUGCACGAAAGCGUGGGGAGCAAACAGG
rnacentral:rRNA from 1 species